rnacentral:rRNA from 1 species
GACGAACCGUGCGAACGUUGUUCGGAAUCACUGGGCUUAAAGGGCGCGUAGGCGGCUUGCCAAGUCGGUGGUGAAAUCCUGCAGCUUAACUGUAGAAGUGCCUCCGAUACUGGCAAGCUCGAGGGAGGUAGGGGUCUGCGGAACUUCUGGUGGAGCGGUGAAAUGCGUUGAUAUCAGAAGGAACGCCGGUGGCGAAAGCGGCGGACUGGACCUCUUCUGACGCUGAGGCGCGAAAGCCAGGGGAGCAAACGGG